CCAAACUGUUGCCUCGGCGGGGUCACGCCCCGGGUGCGUCGCAGCCCCGGAACCAGGCGCCCGCCGGAGGGACCAACCAAACUCUUUUCUGUAGUCCCCUCGCGGACGUUAUUUCUUACAGCUCUGAGCAAAAAUUCAAAAUGAAUCAAAACUUUCAACAACGGAUCUCUUGGUUCUGGCAUCGAUGAAGAACGCAGCGAAAUGCGAUAAGUAAUGUGAAUUGCAGAAUUCAGUGAAUCAUCGAAUCUUUGAACGCACAUUGCGCCCGCCAGUAUUCUGGCGGGCAUGCCUGUCCGAGCGUCAUUUCAACCCUCGAACCCCUCCGGGGGGUCGGCGUUGGGGACCUCGGGAGCCCCUAAGACGGGAUCCCGGCCCCGAAAUACAGUGGCGGUCUCGCCGCAGCCUCUCCUGCGCAGUAGUUUGCACAACUCGCACCGGGAGCGCGGCGCGUCCACGUCCGUAAAACACCCAACUUCUGAAAUGUUGACCUCGGAUCAGGUAGGAAUACCCGCUGAACUUAAGCAUAUCAAUAACCGGGAGGAA
rnacentral:rRNA from 1 species